rnacentral:lncRNA from 1 species
UACCACCUCCUGAGCUGAUUGGGCCUAUGCUGGAGCCCAGUGAUGAGGAACCUCAGCAAGAGGAACCACCAACUGAAAGUCGGGAUCCUACACCUGUACCUGACCUGGAAACUGAUCUCCAGGAGCUGUCUCAGUCAAAGACUGGGGAUGAAUGCAGAGAUGGUCCCGAUGACAAGGGGAAGAUUCUGCCAAAAUCAGAGCAAUUUAAAA